GACGAACGCUGGCGGCGUGCUUAACACAUGCAAGUCGAACGGGUCUGCCCUGUUUUUUGCGGGGUGGGUCAGUGGCGAACGGGUGAGUAACACGUGAGUAACCUGCCCCUCACUUCUGGAUAACCGCUUGAAAGGGUGGCUAAUACGGGGUGUUCUGGCUGUGCCGCAUGGUGUGGCUGGGAAAGAUUCACUUUUGUGGUGUUUUGGUGGGGGAUGGGCUCGCGGCCUAUCAGCUUGUUGGUGGGGUGAUGGCCUGCCAAGGCUUUGACGGGUAGCCGGCCUGAGGGGGUGGGCGGUCACACUGGGACUGAGAUACGGCCCAGACUCCUGCGGGAGGCAGCAGUGGGGGGUAUUGCACAAUGGGCGGAAGCCUGAUGCAGCGACGUCGCGUGAGGGAUGGAGGCCUUCGGGUUGUGAACCUCUUUCGCCGGUGAAGAAGGUCCUGCUCUUUGUGGUGGGGUUGACGGUAGCCGGGUUAUGAAGCGCCGGCUAACUACGUG
rnacentral:rRNA from 1 species